GACGAACGCUGGCGGCGUGCCUAAUACAUGCAAGUAGAACGCUGAAGCGAGGAGCUUGCUCUUCUUGGAUGAGUUGCGAACGGGUGAGUAACGCGUAGGUAACCUGCCUUGUAGCGGGGGAUAACUAUUGGAAACGAUAGCUAAUACCGCAUAACAAUGGAUGACCCAUGUCAUUUAUUUGAAAGGGGCAAAUGCUCCACUACAAGAUGGACCUGCGUUGUAUUAGCUAGUAGGUGAGGUAACGGCUCACCUAGGCGACGAUACAUAGCCGACCUGAGAGGGUGAUCGGCCACACUGGGACUGAGACACGGCCCAGACUCCUACGGGAGGCAGCAGUAGGGAAUCUUCGGCAAUGGGGGCAACCCUGACCGAGCAACGCCGCGUGAGUGAAGAAGGUUUUCGGAUCGUAAAGCUCUGUUGUAAGUCAAGAACGAGUGUGAGAGUGGAAAGUUCACACUGUGACGGUAGCUUACCAGAAAGAGACGGCUAACUACGUG
rnacentral:rRNA from 1 species